AGCAGCCGCGGUAAUUCCAGCUCCAAUAGCGUAUAUUAAAGUUGUUGCAGUUAAAAAGCUCGUAGUUGAAUUUCGGGGUCAGUAGGUUGGUCAUGCCUUCGGUAUGUACUGGUCUCACUGACUCCUCCUUCCUGAUGAACUGUAAUGCCAUUAAUUUGGUGUUGCGGGGAGACUAGGACUGUUACUUUGAAAAAAUUAGAGUGUUUAAAGCAAGCUAACGCUUGAAUACAUUAGCAUGGAAUAAUGAAAUAGGACGUUCGAUCCUAUUUUGUUGGUUUCUAGGAUUGACGUAAUGAUUAAUAGGGAUAGUUGGGGGCAUUAGUAUUCAAUUGUCAGAGGUGAAAUUCUUGGAUUUAUUGAAGACUAACUACUGCGAAAGCAUUUGCCAAGGAUGUUUUCAUUAAUCUAAGAACGAAAGUUAGGGGAUCGAAGACGAUCAGAUACCGUCGU
rnacentral:rRNA from 1 species